rnacentral:lncRNA from 1 species
UUGUAUUCUUAAAACCUUCUGCAAUUACCCUUCAAAUAGCUAAAACACCCGGGUUGAUUUAGAGAUAUUUGCGAUAUUUGUCACAUUAAAACCUUUAUAUCAUGAAUCUUUCUCACAAGUUUUGUGUUGAUGGUUACUCUUUUUUUUGUCGUGAAGCACUUUAGAAGCUCAGAUGUGUUCCACUUGUCUCCCUUGGGAUCUUACAUCUGGUCUUCACAUAGUAUUUUGAACGAGCCCUAAAAACUUGAACGUACAUGCUGGAUGGUUUUAUUGAGAGAUACUUUUAAUAUUAUUUAAAUUCAUGUUUUGGAACUGUUUAUUACAAAUUAUGUAGGUUGGUUAACUUUUUUAAUUUUGAACAGGAAAAUAAAUAAGAAGAGUGCAGGACUGGGGAUGAAACAUUUCAAUCUUAAUUAAGUGGGAGAAGCAGAGUUGCUGUUGUUUAUAACCAGUUUGAACAGGCCAGUUGUUUGUAAGUUUGUAAUAAAGAGGUACUAAAUUGAAAAUUUUAAAUGUGAUCUUAUAUGAUAUAUCAUUAUUCUAGAGAUCAAUGAACUGUAAGUCUAUAACCCUUGCAUUUCUUCUAUAUAAACUAUUAAGUUGGGUGGAAUUUGUUCUACGUUUUACAUGAUAAACUAUUCUUGCUUUUAACUGGUUUCACAGAUUGACUUGUAAUCAAAAUCACUAAUAUCGCUUUCUUUCUGUUCAGUUGAUUUUAGUUAGUGGUUUUUAAACAAAUAGGUUUUCAAGAGAACAGGUUUGUUGACCCAUGGUUUGUUAUAUUUAAGGAUGUGUUAAUAUAUAAUGUACUAUCUUUAUGGAAUAUGCGGCACCGGUUUUGAUGUGAAUAAGGAUCUACUGACUGAACUAAAUCGCAAAUGGCCACCAAAUUUUAAGGCUUUAUGAUUAUUUUUUUUAUGCAAGUAGUUGGAAGUAAUCUAAUGGUUGAUGCAAUAUAUGUGCUUUUUCUAUUAAUUUAUUAAUUAAUUUCUUUAAAAUUUUACAGGAACGCAUCUUCAUCGUUAAUGAACUGCUUCGUGUUAUCUUAUAUAAAUUUCAAAUAUACAAUAAAGAAUCUGGUAGGUAGCCUUAUUUUACCAUGUCCAGGCAACAGGUUUGUUUAUUAGCACCAUUAGCAGUUGGCACAAAUGGUUAGGGGUCAGGUUGGGUAAAAGGUCCGAUACCAUUUACUUAUAGAGAUGUAAGUUGAUUUUAUGGGUCAUGUUUUAUCUCUAACGCCAAAUGGGUUAAAUGGGUUGAAAGUCUCAUGUAGAAUGUUUUUAAGCAUACAACCAACUAAUUCGUUUUAUAAAGAAAUAAAUUAUUGUUGAGUAAUAAUCUUUAGCACACAUAUUAUUAACUGUAUAACUUUCAGUUUUAAUUCCCCAAAACCUGUUUUGGGCAACUAUGCUAAUGCAUUUGGACCCAUAUAGAAAAUUACUCAGCGGGUGAAAAGGGUUCGAAGUAGGUGAAACUCUUCAUACGUUAAAGAAUAAAGAGUCCAAUGAGAAUGGGGAUAAGAGACAAGUCUAGGGGAUGCCGGCACCAAGAACAACGACAUGACCAUCGCAAGCCGACAUAGUUCCCUAAACUCACACAGUCAAUUGAGGGUUUUUUAAAAGAAGAGAGAUAUUGACACUUCCCUACAUUCACACACUUAGUUGGGAGUUUUUAAAAUGAAGAGAGACUUUGACACUCAAAAGUAUGUAAUUCAUCAUUAUGAAACAUACUGUUGAAUGGAUCCCGUUCUAUGUCAAUCUUCAACAUUUGAUUCUCUUUAGCGAUAAUAUACAUGUAAAUAUGAACCCAUUUAUAAAACAUUCCGCAUAAUUUUUU